GGUGGGUGUUCUUUAAUCUCAGACUUUGAUUCAGUCGGAAAUGCGCCCGGAACGGCGGGGAAGCAUCAUUUUCCCCAAGACGGGGAAGGGCGAAGCUGCUCCUGGGGUUUUUUUGGGGUGAGGUGUGCCGAGGGCGUGGGUUUUCCCGGCUCGGACUCGUCCCCGCGGGUGCGAGGCAACAGGUGACUCAGCUCCGGGAGCCGCCGGGUCCCCCCCGGCAAGAACCCCCAACUGAAAUGGCACUGGGUGGCCGGUCCAGGACGGGGCUCCCUGCCCCUCGACGGCUCAUGCCCCGCUGGUCAAGCCGUGGAUGUUCCACUACGGCUUAAAACUGCACGACGCCCAUUAAAAGACUCAGUUCACCUCGGAGGCCUCCAUCAGCUGCACGAUAUUAUCUCACAGAUCAGAAAGUGCCUCGUUGGGAAGGCAAUUCUCGAGCAUCCCCAGCACAUGGAGAAGGAGGAGUAAGAAAUGCCACCGCUGGCAGCAGUGCCUGGAAGCUCUGCGUUCAGCGGGGGCCCCAGCAUGCGAGGCGGCUCCUCCCGGCCUCGGCCUCCUCCACCGGGGAUGUGGUGGCCGAGAGGCAGCGGGGACGCGGAGCCCGGUGGCGGGUGCUGAGGGGGAAGGGCUGCUGGCUGCUCUGCUAUUAAAAAGUGCCUCCCUGCCACUGGAGAGUUCUCAUCCGGCCGCUCCCGGGAAAUGUACCCCCUCCAUACCGCUGAGAGCAUCGGCGUUCGGAACGGGGAAGGGAUCUGCCUGUCCUCGGCGAUAGGAACAUGCAGCCCUUUGUCUCUCUAGACAAGGUGCGAUAUUCAACUGCGGGCCAUGAAAAUAGAUACGCCAAAUGGCUACCGCGACCCCCUCCUAUCCCUCGGGGAGGUGGGCUCGCCCCGAGGCCCCACCGUGCCCGGGAAGGGCU
rnacentral:lncRNA from 1 species